GUUUAGGGUAAACUCUGGGCUUAUUCUGCGUGCAUGGACUCUGCCACUAUGUGUUCGUGCGGAUUGGGAUUCUCGGCACAAGUGUUAUAAACUGAAAUGAAAACGGACACUGAAUAGGCCUAAAAGAAAAAAAUCGUCAAAUAAAAAUGAAAACUAUAUUUACCAAAUAUAUUAUAGUGUCGGACUUUAAUCAGCAAAAAGCAGCGCUACACCACCAACAUUAUUUUGCCUCGUUUAUCCACAAUAUCUUCACUUUCAAAAGAUAAUUUUGAAAUUAUUGCUGAGCUGUCCCUUUUUUAAUUUAAGUGCUUAUUGCGUGCAUGACUUACCAAAUUUGCCGCACGUGACGUGCUCCGCUAACCGAAUGUAAUGAGCAUAAUGAUACGCCGGAUUUAUGCAGACUACUAACUUAAAUAUUUCAACCAUACUACUAAUUUGCUAAUAUUGUCGCCAAUAUAAUGUUCGUAUAGUGCCGAAAAGCUGGCGUCCGUUAUCUAAAGUCCCUGAAAUAACAUACAGAUUGCUGUUGUCAAAAUAAAAUUAAAUUAAACGGUCUAUUUGAUUUUCUUGUGUUAAAUUCAUCGUUUAGAUUAAUCGACCAAUCAGUACAAUAGUCGACAGAUUAAUCCAUAGAAAAAUAGUCGGUAGUGGCAGCCCUAGUAUAUCUGCGUGGAUGUCUGGCUUACCAGGUCAACAAAAUGAAGACAAGUUUCUGCAGCGUCUGAAAAGCAUGUUCGCCAGAUGCACACCUACGACUUAACAAUCCAAUUAUGGAUCAUGCAGUACUGGCUCUGUGUUUCGGCGCCCAAAAGCUGCGUCUGUUUCUCCAUCUGGCACUUCCCUCCCCCCACUACAAGAUUGCAACAUUGCAUCUUCUGCUUGAGCUUUCUGACGGAUGGUUGAAGCUUGCAGGCCUGGUUUGGGGCCGAUCUGCGGAUCGCUUAUCUGCUUGCCCCAGAAUAGCCAUCAGAUUUAUGAGCAGAUGUCAUAACUUGUCGUUUUGUUCGCUGACCAUUCUAGGCAUGCUUAGAUCAUGUAUAUCUGUCCUCUGUUUGCUGUUUAAUGAGAUUUGGCAACCAUUUUGCCCAUCUUGUUUUUAUUAGCUUAAGCAGUGCAUGCUAGUCCCUCCCACCAGUCAGUCCGUCACUCUGA